ACAGUGGACACAAACUGAUCCUUAAAUCCUCAACUGCACUUCUAAUAUAAAUAUUUCCUCCUCUUCCAUUAAGAUCAUAUUUAGUGUAAAUCCAAGCAGCAUUUCUCCUGAUGUUGUGUCCCACGUUGCCUUCAGUCUGUUGAGAGCAGAGAAAUCAUUUCCAUAGAGAGGAGGCUUUGCAUCGUCAGCUGAUCCUCCAGUGAACUGAGAAGGUUUAUAGUCCUGUGAGUUGAACAGUGCAGGACUCAGAUCUGUCAGUCAACACAGCAGAAAGCACAACCACCAUGACUCUCAUCACCAUCCUGAUCUGGACGCUGGCCUGCUGCUGUUUUACAGGAUGCAGCGGUCAGGUGACUGUGACUCAGCCUCCAGUAGAGACAACUACUCCAGGAUCCACUGUCACUCUCACCUGUAGAACCAGCCGAGCUGUUUAUAAUAAUAAUUACCUUUUCUGGUACCAACAGAAAUCUGGACAGGCUCCAAAGCUCCUAAUAAAAUAUGCGAGCACUCUUGAAUCAGGAACACCAGCUCGGUUUAGUGGCAGUGGAAGCAGCUCUGACUUCAGUCUGACCAUCAGUGGAGUUCAGACUGAAGAUGCAGCAGUUUAUUACUGUCAGAGUAUACAUGUAAUAAACAGUGCCUGGGUGUUCACACAGUGAUUUGUAGUCGUACAAAAACCUCCCUCAGUCAGACUGCAGAGACACUGAGCGGUUAGAGCAGGAAGAGACUCUGACACAGACCACUGAACACAGAGCUGACAGUCACCUCACCAAGCACUAAACACACAUUCACAAUAAAGUACUAUUGAAUAUUUUUAAUUCCUUACAAUCU